AAAUUGAAGAGUUUGAUCAUGGCUCAGAUUGAACGCUGGCGGCAGGCCUAACACAUGCAAGUCGAACGGUAACAGGAAGCAGCUUGCUGCUUCGCUGACGAGUGGCGGACGGGUGAGUAAUGUCUGGGAAACUGCCUGAUGGAGGGGGAUAACUACUGGAAACGGUAGCUAAUACCGCAUAAUGUCGCAAGACCAAAGAGGGGGACCUUCGGGCCUCUUGCCAUCGGAUGUGCCCAGAUGGGAUUAGCUUGUUGGUGGGGUAACGGCUCACCAAGGCGACGAUCCCUAGCUGGUCUGAGAGGAUGACCAGCCACACUGGAACUGAGACACGGUCCAGACUCCUACGGGAGGCAGCAGUGGGGAAUAUUGCACAAUGGGCGCAAGCCUGAUGCAGCCAUGCCGCGUGUAUGAAGAAGGCCUUCGGGUUGUAAAGUACUUUCAGCGGGGAGGAAGGGAGUAAAAUUAAUACCUUUGCUCAUUGACGUUACCCGCAGAAGAAGCACCGGCUAACUCCGUGCCAGCAGCCGCGGUAAUACGGAGGGUGCAAGCGUUAAUCGGAAUUACUGGGCGUAAAGCGCACGCAGGCGGUUUGUUAAGUCAGAUGUGAAAUCCCCGGGCUCAACCUGGGAACUGCAUCUGAUACUGGCAAGCUUGAGUCUCGUAGAGGGGGGUAGAAUUCCAGGUGUAGCGGUGAAAUGCGUAGAGAUCUGGAGGAAUACCGGUGGCGAAGGCGGCCCCCUGGACGAAGACUGACGCUCAGGUGCGAAAGCGUGGGGAGCAAACAGGAUUAGAUACCCUGGUAGUCCACGCCGUAAACGAUGUCGACUUGGAGGUUGUGCCCUUGAGGCGUGGCUUCCGGAGCUAACGCGUUAAGUCGACCGCCUGGGGAGUACGGCCGCAAGGUUAAAACUCAAAUGAAUUGACGGGGGCCCGCACAAGCGGUGGAGCAUGUGGUUUAAUUCGAUGCAACGCGAAGAACCUUACCUGGUCUUGACAUCCACGGAAGUUUUCAGAGAUGAGAAUGUGCCUUCGGGAACCGUGAGACAGGUGCUGCAUGGCUGUCGUCAGCUCGUGUUGUGAAAUGUUGGGUUAAGUCCCGCAACGAGCGCAACCCUUAUCCUUUGUUGCCAGCGGUCCGGCCGGGAACUCAAAGGAGACUGCCAGUGAUAAACUGGAGGAAGGUGGGGAUGACGUCAAGUCAUCAUGGCCCUUACGACCAGGGCUACACACGUGCUACAAUGGCGCAUACAAAGAGAAGCGACCUCGCGAGAGCAAGCGGACCUCAUAAAGUGCGUCGUAGUCCGGAUUGGAGUCUGCAACUCGACUCCAUGAAGUCGGAAUCGCUAGUAAUCGUGGAUCAGAAUGCCACGGUGAAUACGUUCCCGGGCCUUGUACACACCGCCCGUCACACCAUGGGAGUGGGUUGCAAAAGAAGUAGGUAGCUUAACCUUCGGGAGGGCGCUUACCACUUUGUGAUUCAUGACUGGGGUGAAGUCGUAACAAGGUAACCGUAGGGGAACCUGCGGUUGGAUCACCUCCUUACCUUAAAGAAGC
rnacentral:rRNA from 1 species